GAGGGUACAGCUCAGAGGUAGAGCGUGUGCUUAGCAUGCACGAGGUCCUGAGUUCAAUCCCCAGUACCUUCA
rfam:Camelus ferus unplaced genomic scaffold scaffold16133, whole genome shotgun sequence.